UACGUAGGGGGCAAGCGUUGUCCGGAUUUAUUGGGCGUAAAGAGCUCGUAGGUGGUUCGGUAAGUCGGAUGUGAAAUCUCCAGGCUCAACCUGGAGGGGUCAUUCGAUACUGCCGUGACUAGGGUUCGGUAGGGGAGUGUGGAAUUCCUGGUGGAGCGGUGAAAUGCGCAGAUAUCAGGAGGAACACCCGUAGCGAAGGCGGCACUCUGGGCCGAUACUGACACUGAGGAGCGAAAGCGUGGGGAGCGAACAGG
rnacentral:rRNA from 1 species